GUCCAGACUCCUACGGGAGGCAGCAGUGGGGAAUAUUGCACAAUGGGGGAAACCCUGAUGCAGCGACGCCGCGUGAGUGAAGAAGUAUUUCGGUAUGUAAAGCUCUAUCAGCAGGGAAGAUAAUGACGGUACCUGAGUAAGAAGCCCCGGCUAACUACGUGCCAGCAGCCGCGGUAAUACGUAGGGGGCAAGCGUUAUCCGGAUUUACUGGGUGUAAAGGGAGCGUAGACGGCAUGGCGAGUCUGAAGUGAAAGCCCGGGGCUCAACCGCGGGACUGCUUUGGAAACUGUGCAGCUAGAGUGCAGGAGAGGUAAGUGGAAUUCCUAGUGUAGCGGUGAAAUGCGUAGAUAUUAGGAGGAACACCAGUGGCGAAGGCGGCUUACUGGACUGUAACUGACGCUGAGGCAUGAGAGCAUGGGGAGCAAACAGGAUUAGAUACCCCCGUA
rnacentral:rRNA from 1 species